rnacentral:lncRNA from 1 species
AUGAGCACCGGUCUCCAGCCCUUGCAGCUCGCGUGCCCCAGGGAAGGGCACCUCCUCUGGUCAGGUUCCAGGAUGACAGCCUCCCCAGGAGGCCGUCCCUUCAUCCUGAGAGACGCAGGAGCCACAUGUGCCACGAGUGCUCAGGGGACAAGGCCAAUCCGCGAGCUAGCUCACAGCGUCAGCGCAGCCCCGGUUUGGGGACAGAGCAAAUGCAUGCUGUGUGCCCAGAAAGGAUUCUUCUUAUUUUUUUUCUUGCAUUUCCCUUGCUCCGUAUAUUCUGCUGUGUGGUGCUGUUGGAAGCAGGUGUCAGAGUCCCAGGUGUCCGUACAACCAAGAACGGAAUCGUUGCCGGCAAGCUUGUGGCCCCGAGUGACGCGACGGCCGGUCAGCAAUCGGAUGGCUCGGCGGCCGUGCCCACCGCACACGAUGGGGACGCGGACACCCCGCUUCUCUUCCCGUUGUCCUCGCGGUCAUUUUGGAAAUCUCACAGUUUCUUUUUUUUUUUUUUUUUUUUUUAAUUUUUAUUUAUUUAUGAUAGUCACACAGAGAGAGAGAGAGAGGCAGAGACAUAGGAGAGGGAGAAGCAGGCUCCAUGCACCGGGAGCCCGAUGUGGGAUUCGAUCCCGGGUCUCCAGGAUCGCGCCCUGGGCCAAAGGCAGGCGCCAAACCACUGCGCCACCCAGGGAUCCCAAUCUCACAGUUUCUUUGCCUUCUAUCGCUGUGACGUUGAGUUCCGUGCUCCAGGAUGUAUUUGAGAGAGAGAGAGAGAGAGAGAGAGGGAGAGGGAGAGCGAGAGUGAGCAGGCGCACAAGCCGAGCCAGGAGCCUGAUGCGGGGCUCGAUCCCAGGACCCCAAGGUCAUGACGUGAGCAGAAAUCCAGAGUCAGGGAUCCCUGGGUGGUGCAGCGGUUUGGCGCCUGCCUUCGGCCCAGGGCCUGGUCCUGGAGUCCUGGGAUCGAGUCCCACGUCGGGCUCCCGGCAUGGAACCUGCUUCUCCCUCUGCUCCUCUCUCUGUGUCUCUCGUGAAUAA